GUCAUGCAACCAGCUCAGUCGGGCAGUACGCCUUGUUGCGAACAUUUCUGUUCUCUUCGAGCACGAAUUUUCCACGCGUACAAACACUAGAGAAAAUUAAACAUUUCCACAUCGACACCCGCUUUUCCUGUCACAACGGCCGGCUCGAUUAGAUCGGGAAAACCGCCAAAGUACAUACAGUUUCCCUGGCGAUUGAAUUUCGUAAUUAUUGAAAUUUCCGAAAACAAUCGACCCUUUUGAUUACAUAAUGAGAUUCCGGAGUAUUCACGUAAGCUGUCGUGCACAUUCCGGGCUUAGAUUAUUAAUGAAUCUUUACAAUUCGCAUUUCCAUUCUCUCGGGGUGUUAAAACGACGCGUCAAAUGAAGAUUCAGUGUGGGGCUUCGGUGAAGAUCCCUUCUUGACACAAUAGAUCAGGCGGAAUAGUGGAGGAGCCAAUUAGCCCUUCUUCAAACAUCUGGGUUUGCAGCUGGCGCGCUGACUCGGUUAUUUUUUGGUAAAGGGACCACUGAUAUGACUAGAUGUCGCGUGCCUCCAUGUUCCGUUGGCUGAAAUUUCAUCGAUUCUCCUCAACAAUUUACCAUCGGCGGGAAAAAGAAGAAAUUAAAUGGCCGACGUUGAAGACUGAUACGACCAAAGUAUAGUACAGAAAUAAGGAAAAGUAAAUUUAGAAGUACCGAGAAAGCCCACUUUUUAUUCUAGUGUUACACAUAUCCAACUUGAGUUGGUCAACAACUGCAUCAUCACAGUCAAUGAUAUGUUGUGUAAAAAUCAAAUAAUGCUGGUGUAAUCUCGCAACGCCCCUGUUGGCUUUAUCAGAUUUGGCGGAGGCGCCGGGUGUAACAUUUCCCUCCAGGGACCGACACCUGCAUGGUAAUGGAGACAUUGUUAGGGAGAUCGUGUCAAAAUGUUUGACGUUGUGUUGGGGGCGCCGUAAUGAUAAUAAAACUAUUUGCACGACUUGAUAAAUUCGAAAAUUUACGUGAUAUUAUAAUAAGGCUGAAAGGUUUCUAAAAGUCGCACGAAAGAACGCUGAUACUUCUUUUUUGCUUCUAGUUCAAUAUAACAGCAAACAUACGACUUUUCCUACCACAAAAUGGAAUGAGAUGUGAAUGCAUUAUUUUGCACCUCAAAGCAAACGCGCUUGUGAAAUUCAAACAUCAGCAAGAAAAGUUAUGCUAACAACAUUCUGGGAAAAACAGGUGUCAUAGUUUCAAAAGCAUUAAAACAAAAAAUGAGGCGACUGUUUGCACAUAAUAGGUUUGCAAAAAUGGCUUCAGGGUUUAACAACCGAUUUUGAUUCGGUUUAAUAACAUACACUUGCACCCACAAACAUUUCAAAUUCCUUUAUCUUCUCAAAUAAAUCAUUGCUCAACUAAUGGCACAAGGUGAUAAUUUUUAUAGGGUUUUACAUUUUGCUACUAGAAUUUCACAUAUAUCAUAAAAUAUUUGCCGUUUUACUUUAUACGACUAUAAAAAUUUUAUUAUCAGAUUUAUAUAAAAGGGAACAAAACCAUUUGAGAUGUUUCCAAUACCAGGUUUCAUAAAAUAUUUUAAUACAAGUCUUAUGUAAAAGCGACAAACAUUCUACAAAAAAAUUUAAACAUUGAACCAAGUUCAAAGUAUAUUUUUACUUGCGUAAUCAAAAAAGCUGCGUUUGCUAUGCAUGUGAAUUUUUUCAGAAUUUUUCAGCAGUUCCUUAUAAUCAAAAUUAAUUAAUUAAAAUUGAGUCGCUGAAAAACAUAUUCUUUUAAUAUUUCUAUUGGUAUUCGAAAAAUUAAAAAAUUACGUUCGCCGCUAACCCAAAAAAAUAUUAAUAAAUUAACUAAUAUUAAUAAAUAAAUAAACUACUUUGAAUUGAGAUGCAAAGUCAAAUUAAUCGCCAAUUAGAUUGCGUUUAAAUGUGAGCUACACCGUUAACGAAUAAAUUUUAUUUUAUUAAUUAAUUAAAAACAAUUUUUUUCAGCUAUUCAAUACUAAUUAAAAUUCUGAAAACAUUCUGAAAGUAUUCAAUAGCAAACACUAAUUCCUGUGUAACAAUGUGAAAAUAUACUUUCAGCAGACUCAACCUGUAUACAUAUCAUAUCAUUUUAUAACAAACUAAAAUGAAUGUUUAACUGAUAGUUUUUUUACAAAUAGCUAACUUCACGUUCACAUUUUUCACUAAAAGAACAAAACUCAUCAUAGACAACAAAUUAUGUUUAUGUAGCAGCAAACCAUAUCAAAUUUUAUAAAAUACUCAAAUCUUCUAGAUACAUUCUUUUUAAUUUCUAGUUUGAUGAGAAGAGAAAAAACUUGGGAUUACCAAAACAGCUAAGAGUAGCAAGGGUUAUUAUUGCAGCCCGUUGACGUCCUCUUUUGGAUGUCAAAGGACUAUCAGCUCUGAACUUUCUCUAAAAUAAUAGGAAUAGCUGGAAGCAGGGUUGGGCGUUCAAGUUUAGAAUAAAGUGGUCAUCAAAGUACAAAGUAUCACAUAAACCUCAAUAACAUAGCUGGGGUUCAAGGGUGUGAUUUAAUUACUUGGGUCCUAAAAUUUAUGCCAGGAUAUAGCACGGAAUAAAAUAAAUAGAAAAUUGGA